rnacentral:rRNA from 1 species
UUCGUAGGCGGUGCGGCAAGUCGGGAGUGAAAUCUCUGGGCUUAACCCAGAGGCUGCUUCCGAAACUGCUGUGCUUGAGUGUGGGAGAGGCGCGUGGAAUUGCAGGUGUAGCGGUGAAAUGCGUAGAUAUCUGCAGGAACACCCGUGGCGAAAGCGGCGCGCUGGACCACUACUGACGCUGAGUGAACGAAAGCUAGGGGAGCAAACA